GUGGGUCUGACCUAAUCAAAUAAGCCCUUUAAACCUAGGUCUAGAAGUCAGACACAGAGGAAGUCAGAGCAAUUCAAAGUGAGAACGGCAUUUGACAAGAGAGAAAUACUCAAUGCUGGUGUGGAAGAAGGUGGGCGUGGUGUAGUAAGGAAUGUGGGCAGUCUCUAGCCGUGGAGAGCGGCCCAAGGCUGACAGCCAGCAAGGAAAAGGGGGUCUCACUCCUACAACCAGAAGGAACUGAAUUCUGCCAACAAUCUUAAUGAGCUUGGAAGCAGAUUCUUCCCCAGAACCUCCGGAUGAGAACUUAGCCUGCCCAACACCUGAUUUCAGACUUUGAGGCCCUAAACAGACAGACCACCGCCCCCCCCCCAAUCCCUAUCAGCAAUCCAGGAAGGAGUGAAGCAGGGAACUCUGGUGGGGAUAGCUUAAUGCCAGCAAAUGGCCUCACUGUGGCCCAAAACCAGGUGCUGAAUUUGAUUACUGUGUGCCCAAGACCUGAAGGAUUGAACUUUCAGGAUCUCGAGAACCAGCUCCAGCACAUGACUGUAGCAUCAAUCAAGCAAGCUGUGGAUUUUCUUAGCAAGGAGGGACACAUCUAUUCCACUGUGGAUGAUGACCAUUUGAAAGCCACAAAUGCAGAACAGCUGGAUCUAAUUGAGUAUGUAAGAUAUUUUUCAGCUGGACUUACCUAUUUUCACAAUCUGUUCUCUCCAGCUCUGCAUGUUGGCCAAUUGACUUCUAGGAAGUGCAUUUCGUCUAUAACAGGUUUCAAUUGACAUCCUUUUGAGACUUAAAAAAGUUGGUUGUGUUGUCCCCCCACUACAUGACUUCUGGUAUGUGCAGGGAGUAAGAGCAGGUCUUGAUGGAGGGGCAGGGAGCAGAUGGGUCGGGAUGCCCUGAGAGUCAGGGACAGCUCAGAGAAGGCAAAAUCAGGCCCGAAGCGCUGCUGCGUGUCCACUCUACCCAGAGGAAGCUCGAUGUAGCUGGAGUUCUGCGGGGGUGGGACUGGAGUCCUGGAAUGAGAAACACCUGGUGCUCCAGGUGCCGGUGGUCGCUCAUCUCAGACUCGUCCAUAAAGAGUCUGGCUCAUGCUACCUAUCAAGCAAACCCCAAUCCUGUCAACGCCUCGCCUGCCCCACUUACAGUCACAGUGGGGGAGCUUCUCGCCCCAGGCUCUGAUCCACAAGCUGUGCAGGGGCGAGCCCACCUGGCCAGAACAGGGGGAGGCACUGUGCAUGCCCGGGCCUCAAAUCUCCAGCGUUCCCGAAGCCAAAGAUUCCAGGGCAGCAACUUGGCCUUCCGCUGUGAGGCAUCUAGAAUUCAUCCCUGGGAGACCAUCACUGCCUGUUCCUCUAGCCGGCCCCCUGGAGAACAGCCUCAGGACAUUGGUCUUUCUGAGCCAGCCCAACUACCAGCACUGCACUGGGGGAGCUGGCCCCUUCACUCAAGUCUCUGUCAGGAAAUGUUCUCUGUUGAACACCAUUCAUCCGUUGAUGGACCUCUAGGUUGCUUCUGUGUCUUCGCCAUUGUAAAUUAUGCUGCAGUGAACACGGGGGUGCAGAUAUCUCUUUGGGAUAGUGAUUUCAUUUUCUUCGGAUAAAUACCCAGCAGUGGGAUGGCUGGGUCAUAUGGUGUCAUAUCCAAAAACUCAUCGCCAAGACCCAUGUCAAAGAAGGGGUUAAUAUCCAAAAUAUAUAAGAAACACACACAACUCAAUAGCAAAAGACCAAGUAAUCCAAUUAAAAAAUGGACAAAGGACCUAAAUAGACAUUUUUCCAAAGAAGAUAUUCAAAUGGCCAACAGGUAUGUGAAAAGAUACUCAACAUCACUAAUCCUUAGAGAAUGCAAAUCAAAAGUACAAUGAGAUAUAACCUCACAUCUGUAAGAACUAGAACGGCUAUCAUCAAAAAGACAUCUUGUGCUGGCCAGGAGGAGA
ensembl:lncRNA